UUCACUCCAGAGCUCUUUGCCCAAUCUACCACCGGCCUAUGUUGAGAAGACUGGAAUUAGAAUGAUCUUCCUUUUUUCUUUUUGGCCAUAAAAUGAAACGCUUUACAUUACAUACAGGUAUGCAAUCUCUUACUUUUCCUUUUCUUUAGCCUAAUGAUUGUUACUCUUCUUUGAUGUUUCCAAUUUUAAUCAAUUAGUAUGGUAACUGGUAUAUACACGGACACAUGUGCGCAUGAAGGUGGCAUAAAUUGAAGGAUGAGUUUGUUUGGAAUUAAUGGUAACAAACCUGACAGUGUCCAAGUCCUUGCCAUUGUUAUCCAACACCACAUCAAAGGUUGCCCCUGCAACAACCUUGCCAACAUCUGCAGGGUCUCCCCACACCGUCUUCCCUCCAGCACUC
rnacentral:lncRNA from 1 species